AUGGUCACAUCACAUUGAAAUACUGGUUCUCAUUUCAUCACUAAAGUUCAGCAAUGUUGAGCCUGGUCAGUACCUAGAUGGGUGACCACUUGGGAAUACCAGGUGCUGUUA